ensembl:lncRNA
UUGAUAUCCGUGCGAGGUAUCAACCUCUACCAACGCUCUGAUUUCUUCCCCACUCAGCACCCCAGGAUUCGGCUUGGCCCACCCACCAUGUGAGUGUGUGUGAUGACUGACUGAAGUUGUAUCCAAAUCUUUUCGAUACUUAAGAAAAAUGUGUUUAUGAUGAACCUUCCUCCUCAGACAACCCCUCUUCAGCCACAAGCUGGGGUGCUCCCCCUUCUAGCCUCCUUUCACCCAUUUCACCACAGAUCGUUCUGAGACCGAACUCUGUCACCCCAACUGAAAAUGAGAGUAAUGACGGCUAUGAGAGUCCAGGAGAAGAUGUGCUAUCUUUGUUCUGUAGAGUAUGUCAACGAGGUGAUGGAUGACUAUGAACCAGGAUCAGGCUACCUAAUAGUGUUACCAUCAGAUCUUCCUGGGACUGGGUCUCUGCGUCAUUCCAACCAAUGUCUCAUCUCCAAAAGCUCCCAAAGCACAGAAAAUAGUGGCGCAGAGGGCAAUAUGAAUGUCGUUGUGGAAAAGAGCGAUGACAGUGAUGACGAAGGCAACGACUAUGUCAAUACUAAAGACAUGUGAAGCCUCCCCAUCACGUAGCAGAUUCUGACGGGGAGGGAAUUGAGUCGAUCGACUGGAUUUAUCAUGAGUGCAACCAAGUUUCAAAGGGAAACCUACACAGCGUAACUAACAUCUUCAUAGGGGUUCUGCAAUAUGGACAAGAGCACUGUGCAACUCACUGCUGUGGCUGAUGAAACAUUUCAAAAGACCUUAACCUCAUCCACCAGCUGUCUCUGAACUAUGCGGUAAUAAUUAAGGCCUAGGGAGAACAUGUUCUAAGUUUUAUUGUAUGGUGUAGGGCAAAUGUCUUCGAACACAUCUCUUGGUGCCCCAGCUGCAACCAUAAUGUUAAAUUAAGCUCUUUCCUGACUAUUGAAGAGAGAGGAUGACAGUGGGGAAAAGUGGUGUCGUAGGGCAGAUUUGAACCCAUGUUGACACCGCGGCAUUAUUGUUUUCAAUGUAUGGAUUUGCUGACAACUCCUGAGAAUGUUCGUUCUAGUUUACUCUUUUUCUAAGCUAUAUUUCUUAUUACUGUGGAUUCAAAUCUGGUUUGGAUUUUUUUUUUUGUCAAUAUAAGAAAUGCUUUGCCAUAAUCUAUAGCCCUAUCCUGUCCGAAUAAGUUUUACUGGGGGAGCUCAGUUAAUGUAAUGUGCACAAAUCACCACAUCCAUAGUUUUUCCCAUCCAGUCAUUUUUAAAAUUAUCCCAUCCCAGGUCCUCUUAUACUUAUCCUGUCAUCCCUGUGUUGAGGGAUAUUAGAGUAACAGGUGCUGCACCCAGUUUGGGAAAGAACAUGAACAAAUGCUUAAAAAUACACUUUGGAUGUAACCUACAGAUGAAUGAACUUGUGUCACAUCAACUGUCUUAGUGCCAUACUUUUAAAAGAUGAAGUGGAAAAUAUUGUGCCAAUGAAUUGAUAAAUGUUACAGAUCAUGGUUUUUAUUGACUUUCUAUACACUGAAAGCCAUUAGGUCAAUAUUGGGAGAGCCUCCAGGCAACCAUCAUGAGGAAGGAAAAAAAAGAAUUAGGGGCAGUUUGGAAAAAUGGACAAGCUGGAUAUGAAUUACAUAGCCAACGUUCUAUAGUAAUACUAGUCCUGUGCGGAUAGGGCUUAUGAACCAUUGUGAUGUUUUCUGAAUGAAUUGAAGCUGAUAUGGAUGGCAUAGUUCACUAUUAAAGAUGUGGUUCAAAUCAGUAAUGAUCAUUCACAAAUGCUUGUUUGUUACAUACACUGCUCAAAAAAAAAGGGAACACUUAAACACAAUGUAACUCCAAGUCAGACUUCUAUGAAAUUAAACUGU